GCGAGGAUUUGCCUGCAGAGCUACGCGGCCCAGAUUACUGACAUAUUACACCAGGGCUCAAGUGGACAGGGUUAGUGGAACACAAUCAGAUAUCAAUUUGAUUCGGCCUAUCGGAGGAUUACACAACAUGACCAUCAAGGACUUUGCCAGAAGUCAGAACUGCCCAAAUGACGCAAGACGGUGCAGUCUUCUGCACCCAGCGUACCACACGCUCGGUUGAAACGGUCUUAAGUCACAAGGCACUCCACAGUCUUGAGCGGCUGGUGACGUGGUGAUGAGGUUGGGUGUCGUGGCUUAUGUGUACGUCUGGCAUACAUCCCCACAAGGGCAUGGAUCAGAGGGCAAUCAGGAGAAACCAAUAGAGUGAUUCUCUAUAUUCUCCAUCUUUUCCAGUAGGUCAAUUCAAAAUCAGGAAAGAAAUCUAAACCAAGCAAGCCAUGUUUAGCUUAGCAUUAAAAAUGUGCAAAUUCUCUUGCGUGUGCAACAUCAGACCGAGCAAAUUUUAAUUUUCCAGCCUCUCCUCCACUGCAUACAGAGUGCUAGAGCUUACUACCGACACUUUUAAACAUCAAAUAAACCAGAAGCACAGCAAAAUAAGAAAGCAAAAUAAAUAUAAAUCUAUUUAUUUAUUUUACAUGAGUGCUGUGUGGUUUUCAGCCAGCCGUUACUGGA